GGAUCACGCCCCGGACCGAAGGCAGCGCUAAACCGCUGAGCCACCCAGGCUGCCCCAAAAAAAUAGGUUUCCUACAAGAAGAGAUUACUCCAGAGUUUGUAAAGAGGAAUGAUCCUUGUACCAGAUCCUGGAGAAGAGCACUCCUCUGAAGGUCAUGGGACAUCCAGGGCUGUUUGUCAGAUGUCAGGUGGGCUAUGAUGCCUGCAGCAAAAUAGCUGACUUCCAUUUCUUUGCUGUGGAGCAAGUUGCUAAUAUGUUUCACCACAUCUUCGGUCACCAGCUUGGAAGAGAGUUCUCUAACUUCAGCUAUGUUGUUCUACAGGUCAGAUGGAGCAGGAAAUAUCAGGGAUAGGGAAGGAAGAGAGAAUCAGACACUGGCUCCUCUGCCUCUUCUACUGCUUAGCUCAGAUACAGUCAGAACACUUAGUCCCAUCCUCCUCCCUCUCAAUUUAGCCUAUUACCCCCACAAUCCCACCCCCUGAUGAUGAGGAUCAUCACAAAUCACUGAGUAAGCACUUACUAAGUGCCAGGCACUGUACUAGAUAGACAAAAAAGUCUUUUUAUCUGCCUAUCUCAUUUAAUCUUUUUAAAAAAGAUUUAUUUGAGAGAGAGAGCAUAGGAGUGUGCACAGUGGGGAGAGGCAGAGGGAGAGUCUUAAGCAGACUUCAUGCUGAGCUCGAUCCCAUGACCCUGAGAUCACUACCUGAGCUGAAACAGACACUCAUCUGACCUGAGCGUCAGAUGCUCAACUGACUGUGCCAUCUGGGCACCCCUCAUUUAAUUUUUAACAUAGUUGUACAAAUAAGUAAGUCACUCAGCAAGACUUAACUUGUCAUUCAGUGAACUUGUCAGGUUCAUAUUGCUAAUAACUGGCUGAACUAGAAUAAAAUCCAGGUCUGACUCAAAUACUUAAAAGUUCCUCGAGCCUACUAUAGGUUACAUUAACUUGAAAUUUAAUAGUAACAGUGAAAGGCAAGUGGUAUUUUAUUUUAUAUAUAUAUAUAUUAGUUUUCUAUGCUGUUUAACAAACUACCACAAACUCGGUGGCUUAAAACAUUUUUUUCUCUCACAGUUUCUGUGGUUUAGGAGUUCAUUCAUGGCUUAGUUGGCUCCUCUACUCUGAGGUCUCACAAAGUGCUGACUGGGUUGCAUUCUCAUCUGGGGGCUCCACUGGAGGGAAACCUACUUCCAAGCACACUCAAACUGUCGGCAAAAUUCAUUUCCUUGCAGCUCCAAGACUGAGGGUUUCAGUUUCUUGGUGGAGGCCACCCUUAGCUCCUAGACACUGCCCAUAGUUCCUUUCAAUGUGAGCUUCUCCCUACUCCAACCACUUAUUUCAUGGCAGCUUAACUUUUUCAAAGAUAGUAAAGAAGAGUCUCUCUCUAGCAUGUCUACUGCAAGAGAGAUUAAUACAAUAGUCCCCUCUUACCUGUGGGGGACAUGUUCUAAAACCCCAGUGGAUAUGCCUGAAACUGCAGAUAGUACCAAACUCUCUAUAUAUACUAUGUUUUUUUCUACACAUACAUACCUAUGGUAAAGUUUAAUUUAUAAAUUAGUCACAGUAAGAAAUUAACAACAAUAACUAAAGAACAAAGAUAAUAUGUUGUAAUAAGUUAUAUGAAUGUGGUCUCUCUCAGAAUAACUUAUUCUACUGUACUCACCCUUCUUCUGCUUGUGAUGAGAUGAUAAAAUGCCUAUAUGACAAGAUAAAGAGGUGGAUGACGUAGGCAUGUGACAUAGCAUUAGGCUACUAGUGACCUUCUGACCAAUCCUCAAGAGGAUCAUCUGCUUCCAGAUUGCAGGUAACUAAAACCUGCUGAGCAGAACCUGACACUAGGCUCAAUCUCAUGCCCCUGAGAUCAUGACUGAAGAGCAGGAUACUUAACCAACUAUGCCACCCAGGUGUCCCAAAGGAAUUUCUAAAAAACUGACUGCCUUGAUAAAAAGGAAGUAAAGUGGUUAUUAUCAAAGGGUCUAGAGCCAGGAUGCCUGAUUCUGCCUCCUUUACCUAGGUAACACAGGGUAAACGGCCCUUCUGUGCCUCAGAUUCUUGUCUAUAAAAUAUAACUAAGAAUGUAUGGUAGGGUAUAGAACAUAACACAAUUUUUCCUAAUGCUGUUUGACUUAGUCAUGGGAUUUCCCUGCUCCUCCCAUCGAGGGAUGGCCACUUCCUUUAAUCUGGGCUUAACCAUGGGCAUAUAAUAAGGAAUAUAUAUUUGGUCUUUGUCCCCUGCUCUUGAAAGACAACUCUUAAGUCCCUUGGAAUUUACCAAGUGAUAGGAGUACCUUUGUUCUAAUGAGGGAACUCUUGACAGGCGACUAAACAGCUUCAGGAUGAGGAAGCCUGGGACUUUCAGGGCCACCUCAUAACCUCUGGGACAUGGGAGAGGAGCUGAAGACUGAAUUAAUAAUCAAUUGUGCCUAUGUGAUGAAACCCUACAUGAUGGGUUUGGAGAACUUCUGAGUUGGUGAACGUAUCAAGGCGCUGGGAGGGUGGUGUAUCCAGGGAAAAUAUGGAAGCUUUGCAUGUACCCAUCCUUCCUUGCCUUAUACAUUUCUUCCAUUUCAUUGUUUCUGAGUUGUAUCCUUUAUUAUCCCUUAUAAUAAACUGAUAAUAGCAAGUAAA